rnacentral:RNase_P_RNA from 1 species
UCCUGGAAACAGGGGCGGCACGGCAAACCCCACCCGGUGCAAGGCCCAGUAGAGGGGAAGGGCUUGCCCGGCCCGCCACAACCCCUGGGAUGGGCCGCUUGAGGCCGGCGGCGACGCCGGUCCCAGAGAGAUGACCGCCAAAAACAGAACCCGGCUUACGCCCUAUCCUGGGGC